AUACUUACAUGGCAGAGGAGAUACCAUGAUCACUAUGGGGGUCUACCCAGAUGAGGCUUAUCAACUGCACUCAGGAUGUGCUGACCCCCUGUGAUUUCCUCAAAUGCAGGGAAACUCAACUGCAUAAUUUGUGGUAAUGAUUUGCGGUAAUGAGAGCACUGAGUUCAC